GCAUGUUUGAAAAGCCAAAAGCAAUUAGCCAUUAUGCAAGAUACUUGAUCUCAGUUUCCUGCACUGCAAAAUGGGAAUGGUUGCACCCUCCGUAUGGGAUUGUGAUGAGCACUGUGUGUGGCUUCAGGAAUGCACUGAUGAGCAGUUACUUCUUGUCCUUGAGAAACUUCUGAUCCAGAGGGAGAAACAUAAAACCAGCAGCACAGCAUCUUCACUUCUCUCUGACUCUCCCCCUUCAAUCUCCUGCCUCCAGCUUAUAAGGACCCCGAGGAUUACAAGUAGAGCAAAGUUCAAGAUCUACAGUAUAGGUUGACCAGCCGAAUGACUGCAACAGCUGCUUUGGAAGGGCUUCCUUGAGCUUUGUGUGAAGAAUUUUGAGGCUGUGUGUGGGUUCAGUAAUGUGGAAGCCAAUGAGACUUCAGAUGUGGAGGAUCUGGAGAUGGGGAGAUUAUCCUGAAUGCUGCUGGUGGACACAGUGUAGCCAUGAGGACCCUUACGAUGAAGAAGGAAGGCAGAAACAUGGGGAGGUUUCAAAGAUGAGAAAAGAGCUGCAAGCUGAAGAAUGUACGUGGCCUCCCAAAGCUGGAAAAGACUUUCCAGAAUGAAAAAGGAUGAAGAGGAAGAGGGUGAAGAGCUUGACCCAGAGAGUAUCCUUUUAUCCCUCUGAAACCAAAGCUUCCCACAGCCCACCCUGCAGACUUUCCAUAUUUGUCUCACUGAUCAGAGCUUUUUCCAUGGCCACCAGUAGCUGAGAGCUGGCCAGAGAGAAUAAGCAAGCGAUGGUUAUGGGGUCAGAUGAGCUAAGCAACAGUGCCUGACCUACUCAUCAGAAGUGUUCAAAUAUUUGCACAAGUUUGUUUCUUUUACUGGUUAACUGGAGCAUAGAGACCCAUGGACUCAGCUUUUAAAGCUGGUGUCCUUUUCACUACACCUAACUGUUUGGAUUAUGAUAGCAACAUUUGCUUUUCUUUUGGCUCAAAAUUAUACCUCUCAAUUAUACCUUUGUUAAAGCAAAGAAGUGUCAGAAACUGAGUAACAUUAUGCAUGAAUUAAAUGUAAAUCUGAAUUUGCCCAACUGGCUCCUUCUAGAUAAUAGAGAUUACACUUAACUUGAUAGGAACUGGACAAACCCAC
rnacentral:lncRNA from 1 species